GACGAACGCUGGCGGCGUGCUUAACACAUGCAAGUCGAACGGAAAGGCCCUGCUUUUGUGGGGUGCUCGAGUGGCGAACGGGUGAGUAACACGUGAGUAACCUGCCCUUGACUUUGGGAUAACUUCAGGAAACUGGGGCUAAUACCGGAUAGGAGCUCCUGCUGCAUGGUGGGGGUUGGAAAGUUUCGGCGGUUGGGGAUGGACUCGCGGGUUAUCAGCUUGUUGGUGGGGUAGUGGCUUACCAAGGCUUUGACGGGUAGCCGGCCUGAGAAGGUGAACGGCCACAUUGGGACUGAGAUACGGCCCAGACUCCUACGGGAGGCAGCAGUGGGGAAUAUUGCACAAUGGGCGGAAGCCUGAUGCAGCAACGCCGCGUGCGGGAUGACGGCCUUCGGGUUGUAAACCGCUUUCGCCUGUGACGAAGCGUGAGUGACGGUAAUGGGUAAAGAAGCACCGGCUAACUACGUG
rnacentral:rRNA from 1 species